rnacentral:rRNA from 1 species
AGGAAUUGGCGGGGGAGCACCACAAGGGGUGAAGCCUGCGGUUCAAUUGGAGUCAACGCCGGAAAUCUUACCGGGGGCGACAGCAGAAUGAAGGUCAAGCUGAAGACUUUACCAGACAAGCUGAGAGGAGGUGCAUGGCCGUCGCCAGCUCGUGCCGUGAGGUGUCCUGUUAAGUCAGGUAACGAGCGAGAUCCCUACUUCUAGUUGCUACCAUUGCUCUCAGGAGUAGUGGGGCCAAUUAGAGGGACUGCCGUCGCUAAGACGGAGGAAGGAGGGGGCCACGGCAGGUCAGUAUGCCCUGAAACUUUGGGGCCACACGCGGGCUGCAAUGGUAGUAACAAUGGGUUCCGAACCCGAAAGGCGGAGGUAAUCCUCAAAUGCUACCACAGUUAUGAUUGAGGGCUGCAACUCGCCCUCAUGAAUAUGGAAUCCCUAGUAAUUGCGCGUCAUUAUCGCGCGGUGAAUACGUCCCUGCUCCUUGCACACACCGCCCGUC